GGAGAGGUGGCUGAGUGGUCGAAAGCGGCGGUCUUGAAAACCGUUGAACCGCGAGGUUCCGUGGGUUCGAAUCCCACCCUCUCCGCCA
rnacentral:tRNA from 2 species